AGGUGUUCAAUGUGAAAUUUAACACCUAAACCCGAACAUCCUGUUUGUGUGACGUCUACUCACCAUUUAGAGAUGUGGUUUCACCACAGUCCACACUAAUGCAUACAACCAAAUGAAAGCCACCUAAUCUGAUACAACAAGCCAAAUUAAACAAUAUUAGAGGUUCAUGAGUGAUCCAAACGGACUCAUCUGGACUGGAAACUUGUGUGGUAAAAGUGAAGUGAACACGCCUGUGCAUUACUGCGGUCAAAUCUGCUCAAGACUUGUUCUGUGCAAAAGGGAAGGAAGCGCUCACAGCCCAGAUUAGGUCAGAAGAAGAAGUCCAGCCUGUAGAUGUUGUAAUGACACUGCACUUCUGUUCCUCAAAGGAGAUUAGCAGAGCGUCGGUUUUUGAACGUGAGGAUGGAACAGACUUUGCUCUGCGUGCUGGGAUUAUUCUCACUGAAUCUUCUCUUCUACUGUGGACAAGCUAAAGAUUCACCUAAACUCUCUGUGUCGUCCAUGUGGCCAAAUCACGGAGCAUCAGUUAUUCUGCACUGUGCUGCUGAACAUCUGUCUGCAGACUGGAGGUUCUACUGGUACAAGCUUAUUCCUGACAUAGAUAAAGCACACUUCUACGAAUAUGAGCUGCUCCCUGGAAGCACAAACGGGACCACACAGGAUUACUACGUCGUCUAUAACCACACAUAUACAGCAGGGUAUGCAUGCAGAGCAGGAAGAGCAGGAAGAGCAGGAAGAGGAAACCCAGUGCAGUACACGUCUUGGAGUUUUCGAAAGUUUGUCUGGUCCAGAGAGUUUCAGUCACAACCGUCUCUCAGAGUGAGUCCUGACAAAGUUCAACACUUCAGGUCAGACCAUGUGUCACUGACCUGUGAGGGAAACUCUGCACAGUGGACAGUGGUGAGGUUUCGUCAAGACGGUUUUAACAGUGAACGAUGCUCCAAGUUCGGGGAAUUGACUGGAUCAACAUGCAUCACUAAGUUAAAUCACAAAGAUGCAGUGUACUGGUGUGAGUCCAAGUCAGGACAAUUCAGCAGCGCUAUCAACAUCAGUGUAUCAGUCAAAGAUAUUCUACUUGAGAGUCCGCCACAUCCUGUGGCCAAAGGAGCAGCUGUUACUCUUCGCUGCAAGCUGAAGACGGGGAACUUUGUUGCUGAUGUUUUCUUCUAUAAAAACAACAAAGUCGUCCAGAAUGACACGAGAUGGACGCUGACGAUCCCUGCGAUGUCAGAGUCACAUGAAGGCUUUUACAGAUGUGAGAGAAAAUAUUUUCUGUGGCUUCUGUUUUUUACUCAGACUUCACCACAGAGUUGGAUUUCAGUAAAAUCUUUGUCCAAACCAGAAAGCUCUCCAGGUCAUUUGCCUCUGAUUGUUGGAUUGGUUUGUGGAGUUUUAGUAAUAAUUCCUCUGCUGCUGUUUUUUUGCUACGGAACAUCUAAAGACCCAAAUGGUAACAGUCAGACAUUUGCCACCGACCAAACUGUCAAUCAAGGGGAAAAUCAACAGCAGGUGUACUCGACUCUUCUUCACGGUCAGGCUUCCUAGGUUUUCACAGCCAUUUUCUUCAACUUGUCCUCCAACUGAAACGUAAUUAUGGGUUGUUUUGGCCUGAAUACGACACUCGCACCAAACGAGCUCCUUGCGCGUCGUUCCAUAAUCUGGGUUGCGCAGUAUACCAGGGCCUUAAUGUGGGAUUUGAAUCUGUGUCAAUCACAUGAAAGUUCAAUGAUUUAACCACUAAGCUGUGACCACUAAGCUGUGACUACUGCCAUUGGAAACCUCAACGAAGCUACUCGACGUCAACACAUCCAAGGUGACGUUUGUAUCUAUGAAACAGUUGGAGGCGCUGGAAACACUGGGACUGGACGCCAUCAUGAUGGAGGGGAGGAGCUUGACUGCAACUAUGUAAAUCUAAAUUUAGGUGCAGGUACAAGUAUUCGCAAUUAUAGGCAAAUUAGCAAUGAGCAAAUAUUAUGCUCGGUUAAGUAACCGUAUAAAUGUGUACAUUAGCUUCCCAGGAAAGAGGCAAAAUUGUCCAGAUGGUGGCGCUGUAAUUUAAGAUUAAAAAUGAAACACUGCAACUCAGAUUGAUUUAAAAAUGUGACCCACAAGUCCAGCUCAUAAAAAGCUUCUUGGACCAUAAAAGACCCCCAUGAACAUUUAUUUAUGUCAGCUGGGAUUGGCUUGGUACACGCCGAGACGAACAGCCGUUCACUCUAAUAUUCAGAGUGUCAAAUUAACCACUGCAUGGAAUGAAACUUUGAAUAUAUUGAAUGAAACCUUGAAUAUAUGGAAUGAAACUCU